rnacentral:lncRNA from 1 species
GGGAGAGGCUGUGUACUGAGUCCCUGCCCAGUGGGUACACAGUCACACAGCGAUGCACUGUCGGUUGUUAUCCAUUGCCUGGGGCAACACUGCUGUUGAAUUGCUGAUGGUGGCUGGUCCUGACAGAGAGUGAAGACCUGCAGUGUUUGGAUUCUUAGGAAGCCCAUUACCAUCUGGGAGCAGGAGGCUCCGGGACAUAAGAGGAGGGACAUUAAGAAGAAGGGAUGACAAAGAUAAAGAGGCAACUUUGGAACAAGUUGACUGUGAAGACUCUGUGAAAAUGUCUACAUGAAAUGUCUUGUAAGCAGUUCAGUGUACUGAUCUGGAGCUCAAGAGAGAAAACAGACCUGGAGAUUCAGGCUGGGAACCCAGAGCCUCAUAUAUUGCAAGCUGUAAGAGUGAUGAGCUGAGACCCUGCUUAGAAAGACACCAACACAGAAGAUGAGCCUUCUCCUUCAGCCUGGAUCCUGGAGUGAGAGCAGAGAUGCAGAGCUGAACCACCUGCAGGCUGGAGCAGUCAUUGCAGGCAAUCUCAGACCCAGGAGCAAGAUAUCUUUGUUUUAUGAGUCAAGAGAUCUGGGAGUUGUUAACUACACAGUAUUAUUGCAGCAAAAGCUGACUAAUACAGAAAUUAGUCCCUAAAAAUGUGUUGCUGCUGUGAUAAAAACUUAAAAUAUGUAUUCCUGGCCUUGGGACUGAACGGCAGGCAGCAAGAAAGUGUUGGGGACUAGAAAAAUGAUGAUCCAUAUUAUAUAGUAGCAAAUUUUGGUAAAACUGUCACCUGUGAUAACACGAAGACAGAAAACACACCUCAUAAAUGUGUGGUUUGGGGUGAAGAGAUUUCAAGACAAACUGUUAACAGCAAGAAAGAAUUGACCUGCUUGCAAGCAGGGAUGAAAGAGUCAAGAGUGACUCCAGAAAUUCUAGGACUUGCAAAUUUGAAAAAUAGAACUGCUUCUCGUCUUCAAAGUGUUAAAUAAAAAUGGCAAGUAAUAGGAUAUAUUGGAAUAUAUGAGGAAGCCAUUUUGGUGUAAACCUAAUUCGGCCUGACCUUGUCUUUCCUAAAGGGCCUGACCGAGGCCAUUGAGCAUGCAUUGUAUAUCUGCUUUAGAGAUUCCCUAUGGCAAGAGCAAAAGGCCCUUGAGAUAAAGGUGCAACUUCCCUCCCCCUCCCAACAUUGGCAUCUCCUUAAGGAUUAAGCAUCUUUCCUUAGGCUAGAAACUGAUUUCUGCGCUCACCUGUGACCGCCCAGCUCAAGACAAUAGACUUGCCUCCUGCUACGCCCACGAAGAUAGCAGACCCACUACCUGCUGUGUCCAUCAAGCGCUGUGCAGACAGGGCAAUCUUGUGACUAUUGUGGGAGGGACAUUUCAAUCAUAUGUGAAACACCCUCUUUGAGGGUAUAUAACCACCCGAUGUACCCCCACUUCUUUGGAGUGCUCUGUUCCUUUGUGGAAAGACUAUCCCGGG